AGCGAACGCUGGCGGCAGGCUUAACACAUGCAAGUCGAGCGGGCACUUUCGGGUGUCAGCGGCGGACGGGUGAGUAACGCGUGGGAACGUGCCCUCUGGUUCGGAAUAACUCAGGGAAACUUGAGCUAAUACCGGAUACGCUCUUUUGGGGAAAGGCUUGCUGCCGGAGGAUCGGCCCGCGUCUGAUUAGCUAGUUGGUGAGGUAACGGCUCACCAAGGCGACGAUCAGUAGCUGGUCUGAGAGGAUGAUCAGCCACACUGAGACUGAGACACGGCCCAGACUCCUACGGGAGGCAGCAGUGGGGAAUAUUGGACAAUGGGCGCAAGCAUGAUCCAGCCAUGCCGCGUGAGUGAUGAAGGCCUUAGAGUUGUAAAGCUCUUUUAUCCGUGACGAUAAUGACGGUACCGGAGGAAUAAGCCCCGGCUAACUUCGUG
rnacentral:rRNA from 1 species